CAGAGAAAUGGAAACAUAUGGAGCUAUUUCAAACUCAAACACGAGAUGAGGAAAGUGACUUGAGGACCCAUGUUUCGAGAAUAGAACUUGAUUUGAUUUGUUAGGCAACUUGAGUAUGCUGGAAAUGUGAGUCGGUUCACCCCAGCGAUCUCUUGCUUUAUGUAAUGUUCACUCGUAACGGAGGAGGACUUACGUGGAAUAUCCCGCCAGUGAUGGACUGAUGAUGGCGUAUUCUUGAAUACUUGAUCAUUUCUUGGAAAUCACCUAAGUGACAAAUUUGAGAAACACUUUUCUACUUACACUUAUUCAUACGGCUUCUAGACAUCAAUAAAAGGCUUUGUGAAAUUGGACUGUUUCAGCUGUCCCUGUUGUCCAUUCAUGCGAAAAAGAAUGGACUGUAGCAACAAUCAGUUGCCACACGAUCAUGGAUGGCAGUGAUACAGCAUAUGGAUCCACACACAUUGGAUUGUGCAAAAAAGAAGAAAGAAUAAGUGAUGGCUGAAAUAUCCUGAGUUGGUAGUCUGCUGGUCCAUCUUAUUGCAAGCUGACGUGAACGCGUCGAGUCAUCGCAACGAUUUGCUCGAAUGAUAUAUAUAUCUCUCAUACACGACAGGCCCUGCGAGCACAUCACGACUUGGCGGCUAGGAUGUUCACAGUCGUCAUGGAAAAUAACGCAUAGUACAUUGCUGUGCUGACUGCGCAGCUAUAAAAGUGACAGCUCGUCCCGACGUCUUUGGAAUCACAGUGGGGAUUGUGGCGAUUGGCGAUGCGUGGCGGCGGGAGCAUGGAGAAGAGGCGCCGUCAACCACAUCGUUGAAGAACGACGUCUGAAAAACAUUUGAUGACGUCAAUAUAUACGCUGACACAUUCACGUCCUCUGCAUUCAAGGGAGGCCACACUCUACAAGCUCCGCCAGUUUAGGCCUGUGUAGCACCACUGUCCCCUUCUUCUUUUAUUUAAAGAAAUGUAAGAAGACACACACACGACAUUACCUCACGGUUUGUAAUCGCUACAUCUACUUAAUGCCAGACUCAUCUACUGGGUCUUUGGGGGAAUCCGAAACAGAGAGGACUUGGAAGGCUGUUGGGCUUUUUGUUGUUUUACACAGAUAAAAAGGCUCGUUUCGUUUCUCACGAAACAACGACUGGAUGGAAGGGAAUGAAAUAGAGUGAGAUGGAGAAUAUACGUCUAGCAGCGCUCACAGAGUCCAAUUAAAAUGCAAUCAGUCCCAAGAAACAACGACGGUAGGAUCGAUAAUACUCCUGGCUUUUGUCAUUCCUUAAUCAGCUUUGGAUCCCAUCAGUCUCUCCGCUGAAACAAUACAAGGCACAAGCUGAGGAUACUUUUAACUGCUACUACCUAUUACAGAGCUCUAUAUCAAUUGGAUAUUAUUUGGCCGUCUGCAAGGAAUAAAGCGGAUUGAAAUAAUGGACAAAGUCGUAAUACAAACGUUACAUCAUGUUUGAUCAAUCAGGAAUUGAUAUCGCAUGGGUGAAUAAAUGCAAUAUAGACAAUCAACUGGGCACAUUCAAACAGCAGCAACAAAAAUAAGUAUAAUUUCCAAGUUAAGCCACUUUUUAAAGACUCGUAAUUUACCCUAUAAUCUUUCACCUUUUUAUUUCAUGUAAAAUUAUACUUCUUUUCUUAUCUCUACUUAUGACUCUGACAACAAUCUUACUAAUAAACAUCUAUGACUAUCACAGGUGCAAGUGCAACCAACAGUUAAACUCCCUUGGUGGGCAGAAUCCUUGAUAUGUUCGUCGUCCGCCCGUCCGUCAUUCGUAAACAAAUAACAAGCGAAUAAGCGAAGCGAAUCAUUACAUCAAACAUCUCAUUUGGUCUGUAUGUAUCCAAAGUGUUUACGAAGCUGCUCAAGGAAGACGAAGGUCAAAAUCGUUUGUGGUGCCAGGCGGAUGAAAGCCGGGACGUAACCUUUGUAAAAUCCCAGCGGUCCUAGUUUAGCCGUGUACGUGACCAGAUGCAUCAUAUUCUGCACGGAAUGGAAAAUAAACAAGUCAAAUAUCG